GUCUUUUUGAUUAUAAUUUAAAGUCUAACCUGCCCACUGAAUUUUUUGAAGGGCCGCGGUAUUUUGACUGUGCAAAGGUAGCAUAAUCAUUAGUCUUUUAAUUGAAGGCUUGUAUGAAUGGUUGGAUGAGGUAAUAACUGUCUCAAAUUAAUAAAUAAUAAAACUUUAUUUUUAAGUUAAAAAGCUUAAAUAUAAUUAGAGGACGAGAAGACCCUAUAGAUCUUUAUAAAUUAAUAAAUUUUAAUUUUUUAGUUAAAAUAUGUUUUUAUUAGUUAGUUUAUUUUAUUGGGGUGAUAGAAAAAUUUAAAAAACUUUUUUUUUAGUUAAACAAUGAUUUUUGAUUAAUUGAUCCAUUAUUAAUGAUUAAAAGAUUAAGUUACCUUAGGGAUAACAGCGUAAUUUUUUUGAAGAGUUCAUAUCGAUAAAAAAGAUUGCGACCUCGAUGUUGAAUUAAAGGUUAAUUUUAGGUGUAGAAGUUUAAAGUUUUGGUCUGUUCGACCAUUAAAUC
rnacentral:rRNA from 1 species